rnacentral:rRNA from 1 species
CCUACGGGAGGCAGCAGUGGGGAAUAUUGGGCAAUGGGCGCAAGCCUGACCCAGCAAUGCCGCGUGAAGGAAGAAGGCUUUCGGGUUGUAAACUUCUUUGACAGGGGAAGAGCAGAAGACGGUACCAUGAAAAAAAGCCAGGGCUAACUACGUGACAGCAGCCGGGGUAAUACGUAGGGGGCAAGCGUUGUCCGGAUUUACUGGGUGUAAAGGGCGUGUAGACGGGAAUGCAAGUCAGAUGUGAAAUCCUGAGGCUCAACCCCCGAAUUGCAUUUGAAACUGUUAGUCUGGAGUACUGGAGAGGUAGGCGGAAUUCCUUGUGUAGCGGUGAAAUGCGUAGAUAUAAGGAGGAACACCAGUGGCGAAGGCGGUCUACUGGACCGUAACUGACGGUGAGGCUCGAAAGCGUGGGGAGCAAACAGGAUUAGAUACCCUUGUAGUC